rnacentral:rRNA from 1 species
GAUGAACGCUGGCGGCGUGCCUAAUACAUGCAAGUCGAGCGGUAAGGCCCUUCGGGUACGACGAGCGGCGGACGGCUGAGUAACACGUAGGAGCGUACCCAAACUGAGGGAGUAAGCACCAGAAAUGGUGUCUAAUACCGCAUGUGAUCUUCGGAUUAAAGCUUCGGCGGUUUGGGAACGGCCUGCGCAUGAUUAGCUUGUUGGUGAGGUAAUUGCUCACCAAGGCGACGAUCAUUAGCUGGUCUGAGAGGAUGACCAGCCAGACUGGAACUGAGAACGGUCCAGACUCCUACGGGAGGCAGCAGUAGGGAAUUUUCCUACAAUGGGCGAAAGCCUGAUGGAGCAACGCCGCGUGCAGGAUGAAUGUCUUCGGAUUGUAAACUGCUUUUAUAUGUGACGAUAAUGACGGUAGCAUAUGAAUAAGGAUCGGCUAACUCCGUG